GCUCAUGAAAUUUGGUGAUGUGACUCGGAUAGGGGGACCUCCCUUGGGAGAUCAGUACCCUGUCCUCCUGCUCUUUGCUCCGUGAGAAAGAUCCACCUACAACCUCAGGUCCUUAGACCAACCAGCCCAAGAAAAUGUGGAUACAACCAAAAGGUAACAAUCCAAUUAAAAAAUGGACAAAAAACUUGAAUAAACAUUUCUCAAAAGAAGAUAUACAAAUGAUCAAAAAGCAUAUGAAAAAAUGCUCAACAUCGCUAAUUGUAAGAGAAAUGCAAAUCAAAACUAUAAUGAGAUACCACCUUAUAUUGAUUAGGAAGACUGCUAUAAAAAUAGUAAACAAACAAACAAACAAAGUAAGUCUUGGGGAGGAUGCAGAGAAAUUAAAAUUUUUGUGCACUGUUAGUGGGAAUGUAAAAUGGUGCAGCUGUUACGGGAAACGGUAUGA
rnacentral:sRNA from 1 species